UUGUUGCUACAAGCCACCAAGGCAUGGGUAUUGUUACCACAGCACAACCCAGCCUAAGCUUGCUAGGCUGAAAUUGCUGAUUAAAUUCUUAAAUUGCUUCACAUGCCUUGUAUUUCCUCUCCUCCGCAGCAUUUGCUUAUUCAAGGCCGCUUAGUUGAAGCUGGCUGGACUUGGCUUUUAAUCGUGGCUCUACCGUUUUUUAUCUGGGAGACCUUGGUUUUCGUGAGAUUGAAUUAUCUGGAUUAAAGAACCAGACUACAUCUCUUGAAUCUGCCAUAUUCUUUAUGGAACCUGCCUUAUUCUUUAUGGAAUCUGCCAUAUACUUUUCGCAUUCCUAGUGCUUGGCAAAUAGUAAACAUUUAGGCACAGUGAGAAGGUGGCCGUGUGCAACCCUGGAAGAAGGUCCUCACCCAGGAACGGAAUUAGCUGGCACCUGAAUCUUGGACUUCUCA